rnacentral:pre_miRNA from 1 species
UCACCUGGGAAGUCUAAUCAAAGUGCAUAUUCUGACCCAGUGUGCCUGAGAUUCCGCAUUUCUAACAAGUUCCCAGGUG